rnacentral:rRNA from 1 species
GACAGAGGCCUCAAGCGUUAGGCGGAAUCACUGGGCUUAAAGCGUGUGUAGGCGGAUCGUUAAGUGUCUUGUGAAAUCCCACGGCUCAACCGUGGAACUGCUGGGCAUACUGGCGAUCUUGGGCCACUCAGGGGCGACCGGAACAAGCGGUGGAGCGGUGAAAUGCGUAGAUAUCGCGUGGAACGCCAAAGGUGAAGACAGGUCGCUGGGGGUGUGCCGACGCUGAGACGCGAAAGCCAGGGGAGCAAACGGG